UUCUAUUGCCGCGUCGUUAGGUCAAGGUGAUGCUUGACGCAGGGAUAUAUACAUAUAUAGAUGCCCUUUCGUAUUAGGUGUUUCGUCGCGGAUUGUGAUCUGCAGGAGUUCUUACACAGGACCGAAAAUGAUGGGAAACGAAAAAAUGGCGAGAAUAGCAGUGAUUCGUAAUGCAAAAGAAGAAUACAAAUAUGGUUCACGAAUAAUCGAGAAGAUAUAGUGUAAAUAGUAUUUAUUAUAAAUGUAAAGUUAACUUAAAUUAAAUAAAUAAACAUAGGGUUAUACACACAAAUAUUAAGAAAUCAUGAUAAUUUUCUGCUUUUUGUCAAAGUAUGUGCAAAAAGCGUAGAAGACUCGAUCAAAAUAAAAGAUGAAUAAUCUAGUUUUGUUAAUUUCCGAUGAUUUCAUAAUAGCUCAAUACCAAACCAGUCAAAAAUAUAUUUUGUCAAAUAUAUUUUUAGAUUAGAUAGGGGGAAAUGUAACAAGGUUACAGAGAAUAUCGAGCUUAAUUAUAUACACGUUGAAUAAAAAAACAAAUCCCACUUUCGCUAAGCUAGUUACACUAGAAUUGAACGCAAUGGAUCCGCAAAGGUUAAACGAUAUAUACUUAAAGCAACACAAACGCUCCUAUUGGUGGGUUUUUAAACCAAAAAUUCAAAUCUUUCCUGUAACAACUUUGCUGGAAAAAUCUCAUCACUAAAAUUGAUAGCGAUUAACUGCAUCAGGUUCCAUUUGAACUGAUGAGGGCUUUGUUUCAUAGACAAUAGAUUCAAAACGGGGGCGUUGCGUUGGCCUUUUUGAUAAAAUUCGGACGAUCAAGGAAUCUCAAUUCGAUCGGUGAGCAGAUUAGAAGUGAUUGCGAUAAUUGAAGCCUAAACUAGUAAAAACCAGUGAAACCGUGAUCGUAAGUCGAUCGAAAAGUUUGUUUUGCGAAACAGAAGUGGAAUUUAUUUAAAUCGGCCCUAGAGUGAAAAGUUUUCAAACACAAAAUCCGAGUCCAAUCGAGGGAUUAGAAAACUUAAAAAUUAGGCUGUGUCAUAACAUCGCCUGUGCAAUUAUUCCCACGAGGUGCAGGACAUCACCAUCCUUCAAGUGAAGGUGCGAGUGUGGGGCGUGGGGGUAGUGAUCAGCCACACUAUCUCUAGAGACAGAUCAGAAGCCCGGCGGCUUGUAGGCUCGCCUCGUCGUCGAGCCCGUAUCUGACUCUCGCGCGCCCUGGGCCAAAGGAGGUAAUCCACGCUUCUAUUCGGAAUUAUUCGAACGUCAUUCACCGAAUAAACCGACGUUGGCCUCGAAGGGAAUUCAGGAUUGGUAUCGAGUAACCAGACCCCCACGUGCACUAAUACCAACGCCGUCCAACAGAACUAGCUGUCUCGUCCGUUGCAGCUCAACCGUCGGAGCGAAGAAGACCGCUUCGGAAAAAGCCCAGGAUUGACGGGAUUCAGCCCACUGCGGAGGCGUGCGCUGGUAGUGAACGGAGAGCGAGAAAACUGACAGCACUGAGAGCCUAGCCGACCGACCCGUGGCGCGUGGCGAUAUCCCUCAGAAUCAAGUUCGUCGUCGGAUGAACCGUCGAGUGGGCGGUGAGAAGUGAAUUGUGGGUACUCACCGCACUCAGAGAGCACAGGUGUUCGUGGAGCGAAUAUCGCAUCGUAAGACUCGAAUGUCUACAAGCAGGUCAGACCUUUUAUUUUUAUAAUAACCGUUCGCAAUUUAAACUGAACAAGAACAAUUUAAAUGAGAAAGCGUGCACGCAGUAGAA